ACGAGAAAGUCCGAUUUCGGUUGGGCGAGUAAAGUGGCGAACGGGUGAGUAACACGUGGAUAACCUACCCUUAAAUCUGGAAUAAUCCUCCGAAAGGAAGUCUAAUACCGGAUAAUAUCGCUGGAUGGCAUCUUCCGGCGAUCAAAGGCGGGGCAACCUGCCGUUUAGGGAUGGGUCCGCGUUCCAUUAGCUUGUUGGUGGGGUAACGGCCUACCAAGGCGACGAUGGAUAGCCGGCUUGAGAGAGUGAUCGGCCACACUGGGACUGAGAUACGGCCCAGACUCCUACGGGAGGCAGCAGUAGGGAAUAUUGCGCAAUGGACGAAAGUCUGACGCAGCAACGCCGCGUGGGUGAUGAGGCAUCUUGGUGCGUAAAACCCUGUCAGUGGGGAAGAACCGUGUGAGGAGUAACUGCCUUGCACCUGACGGUACCCACAGAGGAAGUCCCGGCUAACUCCGUGCCAGCAGCCGCGGUAAUACGAGGGGGACAAGCGUUGUUCGGAUUUACUGGGCGUAAAGGGCGCGUAGGCGGACUUUCAAGUCGGAUGUGAAAUCUCUGGGCUCAACUCAGAGCGUGCAUCCGAUACUGUUGGUCUUGAGUUAUCAGAAGGCAGGCGGAAUUUCUGGUGUAGCGGUGAAAUGCAUAGAUACCAGAAGGAACACCUAUUGCGAAGGCAGCUUGCUGCAGAUAAACUGACGCUGAUGCACGAAAGCGUGGGGAGCGAACAGGAUUAGAUACCCUGGUAGUCCACGCCGUAAACGAUGAUUACUAGUUGUUGGCGAUAUACAGUCAGUGACCAAA
rnacentral:rRNA from 1 species